rnacentral:lncRNA from 1 species
AUGGAGAUCUAUGUAAAAGGAUGGCGAGGUGGUGUCAGGUCUCUUCCGCCGGACAGAAUCGCAGAUGGCGGCCGCCGCAUGAUAUUUUUUUUGGAAAACGCCAGCCAAGAAUGUAUCGCGUGUGCGAUUCGUGGCGUUGAUCCGGCCGUUUCUGUUUUUGUUUUCAUUUCCUUUUAUUUCUUUUUCCUAUUUACAUUCGCGGGCGGGUUACCUCGACGCCGUAGACGAAUACGUACGCGACUACGGGGUAUACAUGGCUUGGAUAUGGGCUUACGGCGGGUUAUACCUAAAGAGGCUUGACUUAAGUCGCGGGGCCCUGAAAACCCGAUGACUUACGCCGGGAGGGUCGUAUCGAAUUACGCCUCGUUUCUAAAUUGGCCGAUAAAUGACAUGAACAGUGUUUGCACGUCAGGUUUGCCAUUAUGUGUUGCAGCACUUUUAAAUUCAGUCUAUUUCCGCACAGCCGGUGGACACUUUCAAGUUGUGUUCGCUGAUACUUCGGAGCGGGUGGGUUCUUCGAAGAUCAAAGACGCUUGAUCCUAGGGAUGUCAACGGCGGCUUAAAACAGCACCGCGAAACCCACAUAGUAUGCAUUUUAGUGUGUUUUGGUACCGUGUUUGCCUCCCGAUGCGUGUCCGCACACUUGGCUGGUGCCUAAACGGACACUAAACAGGCCGCCAUGUACAUCCUGACCUGAUCCCCCGAAAUCCUCACUAUGUGAAAAUUUUGGUGGCAAUGCAACGAAUGUGUCUUCAACGUCGUCUUCCUGACGCCCCACUCAAUCCUAUCGGAAGCUCAUCCUUUGGUGACCGCCGGACUGAGGCACUUCGGCGACUCACGUCCUCCUGGCUUAGAAUUAUGAAUAACAAGUCUUUUUCGUAUCUUAUGUCUGUACAUUCCCGUGGAGCUUGUUUUAACGAAAUUAAGUGUUUUGUCCCGUUCAUGUCUUCCGAAAAUGCUCUUAAAUGCGUAACUGAUCCUUUCCUCAAAAAAAAAAAGUUGCGUAACUGAUCCUCAAACUAAAAGGAUAAAUAGAUUUAGAUCAUACCGGGCUAUUGGGCUCUUUUCGCUUAGUAGGCCGCACCCCGGGCCAGGCCGGGCCGGGCGAUACAACAUGUUAAUCCUCCCGUGUCCCUGAA